UACGGAGGGUGCAAGCGUUAUCCGGAUUUACUGGGUUUAAAGGGUGCGUAGGCGGCUUUUUAAGUCAGUGGUGAAAGCCUAGUGCUUAACACCAGAAUGGCCAUUGAUACUGGAAAGCUUGAGUCAAGGAGAGGUAAGCAGAAUUUAUGGUGUAGCAGUGAAAUGCUUAGAUACCAUAAGGAAUACCAAUAGCGAAGGCAGCUUACUGGCCUUGAACUGACGCUGAGGCACGAAAGCGUGGGGAGCAAACAGG
rnacentral:rRNA from 1 species